GAGGCAAGCCAGUAAAGAACAUCCCUCCAUGGCCUCUGCAUCAGCUCCUGCUUUCUGACCUGCUUGAGUUCCAGUCCUGCAUCCUUUGGUGAUCAACAGCAGUAUGGAAAUGUAAGCCGAAUAAACCCUUUCCUCCCCAACUUGCUUCUUGGUCAUGAUGUUUGUGCAGGAAUAGAAACCCUGACUAAGACAAAUUGGUACCAGCAGAGUGGGGUAUUCCUGUGACAACCUGACCAUGUUUUGGGGAGGACUGUGGAAGGACUUUGGAACUUUGGGCUUGAAGAUCCAUCCGUUGUUAAGAGCUCUGUCGGAUGUUGUGUAGGAGCUUGGAAGACAACGUUGAGAACACUGCAGAAGAUGGAGGUCUGGUUUGUGAAAUUUCAGAGGGAAAAUUAAAGACUCUUUUCAGGGCCAUUGCUGUUUUGAUUGUGAAGAUUCUGUAGUUCUGGUUAGCUGGAGCUGAAGAAUCAGCUGUGAUUAACAAGAUACCAGAACUACUAAAGCAAAAACUUUGCAUUACUGGGACUAUUGAUGCUGGUUAGCUGGAGCUAAGAAAUUAGCGGUGAUUAAGAAGAGACCAGCAUCAUUGAGGUGACAUCUUCUGGGAAGUGUUUUCUGAGAGCACAGUGGCUGUGUUCCAGAUAUAGCCAAAGUUGUACCUUGUGCUGUGGCUGGACUUGGUAAUGUGUAAGGGUCACCCAGGUGGUACUGGUUUUGAAGGCAUGAAGGAGUUGAGCAGAGCAGCUGAGGCUUGGCACUGUGAGAGGCCAUGGAAGGCCAUUGGUGAAAGUGCAGCCUCAGUUGCAAUUGAUGGCCCAGGACUGAAGGGGUCAUGCAGUGUUUUGGAGAUGCCAGUACCAUGAGAUGACCACCAAGAGCAGCAGCAGCAGUGGAGUACAGGCAUCUGGAGCCUAGAGGAUGACGCGUGUGCUACAAAGGGCAUUGCUGGAGAAGUGACCCAAGCCCUUGGAGGAGCCCAGAAGAUCGUAAGUUGGAUCCCAGACAUUGGACGGUUGGAGAUUGACUUUUGCUUUUGAUUGUGACUGUGCCCUGAUAUUUUCCCUCUUGAAGGAAGAAGCUGUUUUAGUGGAGCCCACAGUUAAGAGACUUUUAAUUGUAAAAAGACUUUGGAUUUUAAAAGAGAUGGAUAUUUUAAAGAGAUUGAAAUUUUAAGAAUAUGUAAAGACUGUGGGACUUUUAAAGUUAUUUGGAUCUUGGGGAUGAAUAAGAAUGUAAGGGUUGAGGCUUACUAGUGAUGUGUUUGUGUGUCAAGUUGACAAGGGGUCAAUUGUACUGGCUAGUUUUGUGUCAACUUGACACAGCUGGGGUUAUCACAGAGAAAAGAGCUUCAGUUGAGGAAAUGCCUCCAUGAGAUCCAACUCUAAGGCAUUUUCUCAAUUAGUGAUCAAGGGGGAAAGGCCCCUUGUGGGUGGGACCAUCUCUGGGCUGGUAGUCUUGCGUUCUAUAAGAGAGCAGGCUGAGCAAGCCAGGGGAGGCAAGCCAGUAAAGAACAUCCCUCCAUGGCCUCUGCAUCAGCUCCUGCUUUCUGACCUGCUUGAGUUCCAGUCCUGCAUCCUUUGGUGAUCAACAGCAGUAUGGAAAUGUAAGCCGAAUAAACCCUUUCCUCCCC
rnacentral:lncRNA from 1 species